rnacentral:pre_miRNA from 1 species
AACCAGCACAGAGUGGCAUGACCCAGGCAUCUCUGGGUGAGUAUCUCUUUGAGCGCCUCAUUCUCAAGCACCAUUAGGCCU